AAAUUCUGAGAAAUUUUGACUUUGAAAAAAGUCUUUUUUUUCCUUAGCUAAUGAUUAUUUUUAGUAAAAAUGUUUUUGCGUGGUUUUGCUUCCAUUUUAGUUUCAUUAAUUACAAUAAACCUGGGUUCAGUUUAGUUCGCAGACAGUUGCAAAGCUCUCACUCACAAAACAAAUUAGAUUCAGCACUGAAUCGUUUCUGCCUGCGCGCAAACAACACAAGAAGUGUACAGCUAUGCCUGCACGUAAAUUGGAGACAACACUGGCACACCGUUACAAGUUGAAAGGCUUGCUGUAUGUACAUUGUGAGGUGUUUUCUGCCCGUCUGUAGAUGUGAACGAGUGUGAGAUUUACGGGACGUGCCCCCAGCUCUGCAGGAACACUAAGGGCAGUUAUGAGUGUUUCUGCGCAGACGGCUUUCGAUCGGUGGGAGAGCAGCCGGGAGUCGAGUGCGCUGCUGAGGGAAAUCCUCCCGUCUUGUUAUUGCCUGAUAACGUGCGUAUCCGUCGCUUUAACCUCUCUUCAGCGCAGUACUCUGAUUAUGUGGAUAAUGCAGAGCACAUUCAAGCACUGGACUACCUGUGGGACCCAGAAGGCCUUGGUCUAAGUAUAGUCUACUGGACCGUGUUGGGACGAGGCUCUGAGUUCGGGGCGAUUAAGAGGGCCUACAUGACCACAUUCGAUGACCAUGGAAAUAAUCCCGUGAAAGAGGUUGACCUGAACCUUCGAUACAUCUCCAGUCCUGACGGCAUCGCUGUGGACUGGAUUGGAGGCCAUAUUUACUGGACAGAUGCUGGGACUAAUAGGAUUGAGGUGUCAAAACUGGAUGGACGUUACAGAAAGUGGUUGAUUCACAGCGAUCUUGAUCAGCCAGCCGCUAUUGUGGUCAAUCCUGGACUAGGGUAAGA